rnacentral:rRNA from 1 species
UACGGGGGGAGCAAGCGUUGUUCGGAUUUACUGGGCGUAAAGGGCGCGUAGGCGGCGCAACAAGUCACUUGUGAAAUCUCCGGGCUUAACCCGGAGCGGUCAAGUGAUACUGUCGUGCUAGAGUGCGGAAGGGGCUACUGGAAUUCUCGGUGUAGCGGUGAAAUGCGUAGAUAUCAGGAGGAACACCAGCGGCGAAGGCGGCGCUCUGGGCUGGAACUGACGCUGAGGAGCGAAAGCGUGGGGAGCGAACAGG